rnacentral:lncRNA from 1 species
AGGAGAUUGUGUAUCAUCUAUUCAUUGUAUUUCUAUUCAUUGUAUUUCUAUUCAUUGUAUUUCUAUCUUCAACAUGCAAUACCAGAUUACAGCCCUGCCAUUAUUUGAAGGCAGCCAAUCCAAUAGUUUCUGAGAUCGGUAUUCAAAAAGUUUAGAAAAAGUAGUACUUUUUUUUGGGGGGGGGGGGGGACACCUGCAUUCAAAUCGUUUUUUUGUCACCUUUAAAGUAACUAUUUGCUGCACCGAGAAGAAAAAAAAGAAGUUGACUUUCCAGACAGUUAAAAGAAUAGUUCUCCCGGUGUCUGUGGUAGGGCGUGUUCUCUGAAGCACAGAGGACAUCUGGUGAUGUGCUGUUGGUGAGGAGGUGCAAAACACAAAAUGGCGAAUGGAAGAGGACGGAAACCACCUAAAAAGAAUCUCAUCAUCAUCAGAGGUUUGCCCGGAGUUGGAAAGAAGAGCCAUGCAAGAAAGCUCCUUGAUGAAUAUGGAAGACCAGACGUGGCUGGAGGGAUAUACUCUGCUUCCAACUACCAUGCUAUGUUCAACUGGAACAAGUUCCACUUCCCACGUAACCAUCAGUGGAAUAGACGGGAUGUUUUUAGAGCCAUGAAGGAAGGUGUGGAUCCGAUCAUCGUUUACAACAUCCACUGUUUACUUUCUGACAUGUGGCCCUAUGUCUACAUGAAACUGUCGUGGUAAGAUCCCCAAGCAUAAGUUCAGGUACUGGGAGAAUUACUGGGAAGAAGCUGACGACAUCUGGGAUGUACUUGACGACGGCUCCUCCAUAGACCGCUGGCAGUAUGAAAGAGAGGAAUGGAUCCUCUAGUGAAGACACACCAGUACCUCCAUUUUGUGUGAACUACUGUUUUUAAUAUUUUUUUUUUUAGCUUUUUUCAAAACUACACUUUUAAAGAGUAUUGGUUACCUAGCAACCCCUAGAACCCAACAACAACUCAUACCUUACUGUUGUACUUGUCUUUCUUGCACUGACGCCUGUUUUGGUUGUGUCUGAGGCAUUUUUGGUAUAUCAUAUCGUUGAUCGUUGUUUUGGCACCACUCGAGUUAGAAGUUCAGAACGAGAAACUGUAAGCUAUAUAUAUAUAUAUAUAUAUUUAUAGAAGUAAUGGUCCUCAUAUUGAAAAAAAUAUCAGGAUUAGGGUUUUGGAUUUUUAUCAUCCUAAUCGAGGUGUAGAUUACAUCUCACAUUUCCAGUGUUCAAACAUGUUAACAAGUCUGCAUGGGAUUUUCGUCUCAAUGUGACUCUGUGCAGCCAAUGACAAUGUCCACUUCAGGUAUAAUCUCGGGAGCCACUUGCGGAUUUGACAGCUCUAACGCAGUUUCACCUUAACAAAAAAAAAAAAAUCUGAUUGAAUAGAGUCCUAAAUCGUUCUGGAUAAGUGCAUCUGCUAAACGUCAAAUGUAUAUGUUUACAUCGCCUGAUCCCAUAUCUGUUGCGGUCUCGCCAACUGCUAUUGGUCAUUGGUGUGACCGUAGGACCAUAGGAGUUGGCAAGAGCAUAGACUGCUCUGAGAUCAGGCUACAGUAGCCUACGCAUAAAUUGCAAGGCGUCACACUUUCGAAUGGUUUUCGUGUUGUAUGGUGCUUGAAACAACAGUUGUGGGUUUGAUUCCAACAUGGGUCACAUAUCGUUUUACUGUAUGCUUGAGAUAUGUUUCUUUAUACAGUAUUACAGAAACAGGACUGUGCUGUAGGCUACUAGAUUCAAGCAGAAGUGAUAGAAGUACAGAACUAUGUUUUCCGUAUUAUGUUAUUACCGUCCAACAGAUCUGCAGACUCCUAGUAGUCUAAAGUUAGUUCCUUCGUUUCUGACCGUUCAUAAAGUUUUUGCAUUUUUGUCGUUUUUAACAAUAACGUUUAAAUCUUUUUGAGGUUUUUUUUUCUACACUUUUCUAUAAAUUGGCAUCUAUAAUGUUGUGUUUUUGCUUUCAAUAUGCUUUGUUGCCAGCAAUAAAUAAUUUGAAAUAAUUUGCUUUAAAAUUGUCUCUCAUCAUCAUCAUCAUCAUAUCAUCGCUAGUGCAACAGGAGAGUUUCCUGGUUUCCUGGUUUCCUGGUUUCCUGGUGGGUUAAGUUGUUAGUAGCUAUUGGGUGACUCUACUUGACUCUACGGUCAUCGGAGCUCUCGGAUCCAAGGUACAAUGAGUUAUAACUGUUAUUACAAAGUUGUUGUAACGGUGAGCGACCUGUAAAUGGUGAGGAGAAAGCUGAUUGGGCACCUGAUCAUUUUCAGAGGGCUGCCUGGAUCAAGGAAGUCAGAUCGGGCAAGGUCAACUUUUUCAGAUCGCAGGACGAGGAUAAAGUCAUUUUUCUUGAUGAUAAUAAAAAAAUAAAAAUAAAAAUUGUACCAUUGUCAAAAGAAAAAAGGUUUAAAUAUACAAGGGGAAUUCAGG